UGGCAGCAGGAAAUAAAUCGGAUCCAAAUAUUACCAAUGCCGCUGCCAGCGAAGGAGUCCUGGACAGUUUCUUCAACAGUCUCCUGCAUAAAAAGACAGGGUCCCCAGGCAGUCCAGGGGGCCGCCACGCAGAACGCACAAGGAUCAGCCAAAAAAACAGCACAGAAGCCAUCAUCCAGGACGAGCUGGACAGGACGACCCGCCGACAGGACACUGUGUUACGCCUGGUUCUCUGUAGAAGAAGAGUUGGCUGAUCUCCUCGGACGGCUUAAAGCAUAAAAUAAUAACAAACUGAUGUAACCCAGGCGGCUCUGCGCACAGUAGAUACUGUUCACUUUCCUCCCCUGAUCUUCGGACGCGUUGAUUGUUCUGGAUCCCUGCCAAGCGAAGAGUGACUCUAAAUUCUCUACCCCCUUAAAAAUGAGAGAGGUGCUGCGGCAUUGGGAUCACCCCGACCCACCCAAUGUCCCAAUGACAUUCGGAUGCAUAGAAAAUCAACCAUGUUGUUUUGUAGAUUAGCAUUCAGAGGGCUCCCAGGUUCCCUCCAUCAAGAUUGAGGGUGUUUUGUUAUCAGUAUAUAAUUACCUGUUCAUUAAAACCAUUGAUGGACAUAUUAACGCAUAGAAGAAACGUUGCAGAAUUUGGUGAAUAAAUGCUGCGGCAAAUUCAAUUUCCAA